GUGUCACGUUAGCAACACAUAUCCUAAAACUGGAAUGAUACAGAGAAGAAUAGCAGGGCCCCUGUGCAAGGAUGACAUGCCAAUGUGUGAAGCGUUAAAUAUUUAA
ensembl:snRNA U6 U6 spliceosomal RNA